CCAAAUUGCUGGGAUUACAGGCGUGAGACACUGCACCUGGCCACAUCGUACAUUUUGUUGGAGAACAUCCUCGAGUAACUUCUUAAGAAAGAACUCCUGUUAGUUGGAUAUUGGAUUUCCUGGAUGAUUAUCUUCUCACUCAAGCCGUCUGGAGCUGUGACAGCCAUCUUGUGACCAUGUGGGGAUGAGCACGAGGAAGAAGACAACAUGUGAAGGAAGAAAGUCAGAAAGAGCCCAAUUUCUUGAUGGCAUCAUUGAGCAGCUGAACCCAUGCCACAGUUCCUGUUAACUUAAAAAAAUAAAUAAAGCCAUAUGUGUUUAAGCCACUA